GCCCAAGUGCAGACUAAUAUACAGUACCUGCAUGAAUAGUCCCUGCUCCUCUGCAUGUUGGACAUGGCACAGUAUCCCUAUCAGCCAAUGGAUUUUCAUCGCCAAGAACAUUAGUAUGUCCAGCUACCUGUAUAUCACAAUUAAUUGGCGACCCUACAUUAGUAUGCAUAUUCCCAUUUUCACGCCGAGGUAACGGCAUGUUUCUGUCUUUUAUUUCUUUAUAUUUUAUAUCUUCGUUUUCAGGUGUAUUAAUCCUAUUGUCACCAUUGAGUAAACAUUUCAUUUGAGGAUUUUUAGCCAUCAACAAGUGAUUUUAAAAAAGGAGUAUCCACAUAUCUAAAAUGUAGAAGGAGAAAAUUCUAUCACGCUUAUUAAAUAUUCACGCAUCGCUGCAUUU